rnacentral:lncRNA from 1 species
CCAUCGAGUCAAUCCAGUCCGAGCCCACAUGAACAGAUCCUGGUCCGAGUUGACUUGCCUUUGGCUCCGACUUAAGAGGGCCGAGUGACUCAGUCUCCUUCUUCCUCUAACCAAUCGGCACCUCUGGCUUAGGCUACCAUCGAUGGAUGGUCACCAGCCACGACCCAAGGUGCGGCCCAUCAACUACCGCUCCCAUCUCCUUCCUUUCAGCCCGGAUCAACAUUCUCUGAGCACUAUCUAACCACCA